rnacentral:rRNA from 1 species
CAGUUCGGAUUGUAGGCUGAAACUCGCCUACAUGAAGCUGGAGUUGCUAGUAAUCGCGAAUCAGCAUGUCGCGGUGAAUACGUUCCCGGGCCUUGUACACACCGCCCGUCACACCAUGAGAGUUGGCAAUACCCAACGUACGUGAUCUAACCCGCAAGGGAGGAAGCGUCCUAAGGUAGGGCCAGCGAUUGGGGUGAAGUCGUAACAAGGUAGC